AACGAACGCUGGCGGCAGGCUUAACACAUGCAAGUCGAGCGCCCCGCAAGGGGAGCGGCAGACGGGCGAGUAACGCGUGGGAAUCUACCCAUCUCUACGGAAUAACGCAUGGAAACGUGUGCUAAUACCGUAUACGUCCUUCGGGAGAAAGGUUUAUCGGAGAUGGAUGAGCCCGCGUUGGAUUAGCUAGUUGGUGGGGUAAAGGCCUAGCAAGGCGACGAUCCAUAGCUGGUCUGAGAGGAUGAUCAGCCACACUGGGACUGGGACACGGCCCAGACUCCUACGGGAGGCAGCAGUGGGGAAUAUUGGACAAUGGGCGCAAGCCUGAUCCAGCCAUGCCGCGUGAGUGAUGAAGGCCCUAGGGUUGUAAAGCUCUUUCACCGGUGAAGAUAAUGACGGUAACCGGAGAAGAAGCCCCGGCUAACUUCGUGCCAGCCGCCGCAGUAACAC
rnacentral:rRNA from 1 species